AAAAACUGUUUUGUUGCUUUAUUUUUCCUACCCCCAGAAGGCUGCUUUUUCAUUUCUUUUUUCCUCUUAUGGAACAUUUCCAGGUUUGAAAGUCGGCCUUGUGAAUGUUGUUGUCUUUCAGAAAGCAUUGGGCUCUGUCAUGCUGGGCUUUGCUCAGAUGAGAGUUUGUGGUAAGAGAUGAGGAAGGAGGAGGACAACUGGAACGUAGGUACAAUGUUCUGGGUGUGAUGGCAACACGGAGUGUAGGAGGAGUCAGAUGGAAAGGAUCCGCUAAGUGGCAGGCUGGCCCGUGAGAUGGGGGGAUCGGGCAGGUGAGAAGGAGGGCGUGGGCCGCAGUUAAUUUGAAAACCUUUGUUGAAGACAUAAAAGCAGGGACAUCUGUUACAAACGGGUAUUUUGUUGCUUGCAGGAAAGGAUCUUAAAAGGACAGACGCAAGCAUGUCUGCUAGCCUGCAUUUAAUCUGCUUUCGCAACUGUUCUUUUGGCUUUAUAGUAGCACAAGCAGCCGAAGAUCUCCUGUUGGAGUCAGUGCUUUCCCAAAGGGAUCCCAUCUUCCUGUCAUUCAGGCUUCCUGUGAGAGGCCCUGGCGUGCCCAGUGUACUCACCUCUCUGAGCACUGGCACUGUGCAUGUUACUGAGGAUGAUUGUUCUUGGGAAGAAUCCAGUCCACAGUUACACGGGAACAGUGAUGGAAAAGCAUGUGGUGGUUCAUGGGAUGCAGGUGACACAGCUGCAUCUUUUUGCCAGAAGCGAAAGCAUGACAAACAUGGAAGUUGGUGACUCUUACCCCUAGUUCCCUUGGAGGGAGCAUGGUGUUCAACUCUCCCACCCUCUGAAUAAUGCACGGAGCUGCCUUCAUAGUACACUUUUCUGCCCUUUGCACU
rnacentral:lncRNA from 7 species